rnacentral:rRNA from 1 species
UACGUAGGGUGCGAGCGUUGUCCGGAAUUAUUGGGCGUAAAGAGCUUGUAGGCGGUUUGUCGCGUCUUGCUGUGAAAAUCCGGGGCUCAACCCCGGACUUGCAGUGGGUACGGGCAGACUAGAGUGUGGGUAGGGGAGACUGGAAUUCCUGGUGUAGCGGUGAAAUGCGCAGAUAUCAGAAGGAACACCGAUGGCGAAGGCAGGUCUCUGGGCCACUACUGACGCUGAGAAGCGAAAGCAAUGGGGAGCGAACAGGAUUAGAUACCCG